AACGAACGCUGGCGGCGCGCCUAAUACAUGCAAGUCGAGCGAGAAGACGUAGCAAUACGUUUGUAAAGCGGCGAACGGGUGAGGAAUACAUGGGUAACCUACCUCGAGUGGGGAACUAACUAGGCCGAAAGGUUAGCUAAAUACCGCGUACGCUCCCUUGGACUUCGGUUCAGGGAGGAAAGCGAUACCGUGGGUAUCGCGCUUCUUGGAUGGGCUCAUGUCCUAUCCAGCUUGUUGGUGAGGUAAACGGCUCACCAAGGCUUCGACGGGUAGCUGGUCUGAGAGGACGAUCAGCCACACUGGCACUGCGAC
rnacentral:rRNA from 1 species